GUUUAGAGUCGACAACAUUGCUGUGGGUCACAUAUGGGCCAGACCAGCCUUGCAUUGCAACCUUUGGUACAACGUCUCAAUUUCUCAAUGGAAAAUAAUGUGGAAUCAAUUCUUACUGCAUUUGAUGACCCCUGAACUACAAGCCAGGACA